AUUGAACGCUGGCGGCAUGCCUUACACAUGCAAGUCGAACGGCAGCACGGGGGCAACCCUGGUGGUGAGUGGCGAACGGGUGAGUAAUGCAUCGGAACGUACCCGGAAGUGGGGGAUAACGUAGCGAAAGUUACGAUAAUACCGCCUCUUCUGUGAGCAGGAAAGCAGGGGACCUUCGGGCCUUGCGCUUUCGGAGCGGCCGAUGUCGGAUUAGCUAGUUGGUGGGGUAAAGGACUACCAAGGCGACGAUCCGUAGCGGGUCUGAGAGGAUGAUCCGCCACACUGUGACUGAGACACGGCCCAGACUCCUACGGGAGGCAGCAGUGGGGAAUUUUGGACAAUGGGGGCAACCCUGAUCCAGCCAUGCCGCGUGAGUGAAGAAGGCCUUCGGGUUGUAAAGCUCUUUCGGCCGGGACGAAAUCGCACUCUCUAAUACGGGGUGUGGAUGACGGUACCGGAAUAAGAAGCACCGGCUAACUACGUGCCAGCCGCCGCGGUAAGAC
rnacentral:rRNA from 1 species